rnacentral:rRNA from 1 species
GUAGGUGGCAAGCGUUGUCCGGAAUUAUUGGGCGUAAAGCGCGCGCAGGUGGUUCUUUAAGUCUGAUGUGAAAGCCCCCGGCUCAACCGGGGAGGGUCAUUGGAAACUGGGGAACUUGAGUGCAGGAGAGGAAAGUGGAAUUCCACGUGUAGCGGUGAAAUGCGUAGAUAUGUGGAGGAACACCAGCGGCGAAGGCGACUUUCUGGCCUGUAACUGACACUGAGGCGCGAAAGCGUGGGGAGCAAACAGGGAUUAGAUACCCUGGUAGUCCACGCCGUAAACGAUGAGUGCUAAGUGUUGGGGGGGUUUCCCGCCCCUCAGUGCUGCAGCUAACGCAUUAAGCACUCCGCCUGGGGGUUACGGCCGCAAGACUG